AGGGUUUGAUCCUGGCUCAGAGCGAACGCUGGCGGCGUGCUUAACACAUGCAAGUCGAACGUGAAAUGUAGCAAUACAGAGUAAAGUGGCGUACGGGUGAGUAACACGUGGGUAAUCUACCAAAGAGCCUGGAAUAACCGGCCGAAAGGCUGGCUAAUACCAGAUAGUUCAAAUGAAAUAUAAUGUUUCGAUUGGGAAAGGGAGCGGGCAACCGCCUUCACUUUUUGAUGAGCCCGCGUCUGAUUAGCUAGUUGGUGAGGUAAUGGCUCACCAAGGCUGAGAUCAGUAGCUGGUCUGAGAGGAUGAUCAGCCACACUGGAACUGAAACACGGUCCAGACUCCUACGGGAGGCAGCAGUGGGGAAUCUUGCGCAAUGGACGAAAGUCUGACGCAGCCACGCCGCGUGAGUGAAGAAGGCCUUCGGGUUGUAAAGCUCUGUCGGAAGGGACAAAAACCAUCAUGGUGAAUAGCCAUGGUGCUUGAUGGUACCUUUAAAGGAAGCACCGGCUAACUUCGUGCCAGCAGCCGCGGUAAUACGAAGGGUGCAAGCGUUGCUCGGAAUUAUUGGGCGUAAAGGGUAGGUAGGUGGUAAUAAAAGUCUGGGGUGAAAUCCCUGAGCUCAACUCAGGACGUGCCUUGGAAACUUUAUUACUAGAGUGCUGGAGAGGUCCGCAGAAUUCCCGGUGUAGCGGUGAAAUGCGUAGAGAUCGGGAGGAAUACCAGAGGCGAAGGCGGCGGACUGGACAGUCACUGACACUCAACUACGAAAGCGUGGGUAGCAAACAGGAUUAGAUACCCUGGUAGUCCACGCUGUAAACGAUCGGUACUAGAGUUCGUGGGAGUUGACCCCUGCGGA
rnacentral:rRNA from 1 species